UACGUAGGGUGCGAGCGUUGUCCGGAAUUAUUGGGCGUAAAGAGCUUGUAGGUGGCUCGUCGCGUCGGGAGUGAAAACCCGCGGCUUAACCGCGGGCCUGCUUUCGAUACGGGCGGGCUAGAGUUCGGCAGGGGAGACUGGAAUUCCUGGUGUAGCGGUGGAAUGCGCAGAUAUCAGGAGGAACACCGGUGGCGAAGGCGGGUCUCUGGGCCGAUACUGACACUGAGGUGCGAAAGCGUGGGGAGCAAACAGG
rnacentral:rRNA from 1 species